rnacentral:rRNA from 1 species
UACGAAGGGGGCUAGCGUUGCUCGGAAUCACUGGGCGUAAAGCGCACGUAGGCGGCUUCUUAAGUCAGGGGUGAAAUCCUGGAGCUCAACUCCAGAACUGCCUUUGAUACUGGGGAGCUAGAGUCCGGGAGAGGUGAGUGGAACUGCGAGUGUAGAGGUGAAAAUUCGUAGAUAUUCGCAAGAACACCAGUGGCGAAGGCGGCUCACUGGCCCAUUACUGACGCUGAGGCACGAAAGCGUGGGGAGCAAACAGG